AUGUUGCAGCUGCAUCCGGAGGCUACCAUCCCCACCCGGCCAUCUAGCAAUGGGCCCUCCAACCCGGCGAGCGAAGAGCCCCCAAGACGCGGAGGCACCCCGCCGCCACUCGGCGGCACUCGUUCAGAGGCCGGCUGCCGUUGUCCGAAGGCAGGGAAAGCCCGGCCCUCCAGAGCCCUGGCUUCCCCGCGGCCCCUUGACCCGGUAGCCUCUCCACGCGCGCCCUCAGGACCCAGGCUGCCGGGUUCGCGCCUUUCCUGCCAAUCAGAUGCGGAUUUCCCCCACGGCCAGCAGACCAAUCAGCGCGCGGGUGUCCUCUUCGACCCUUCGGCUCGUCGGCUCUUCGGCCCUUCGGCUCGUCGGCUCUUCGGCCCUUCGGCCCGUCGGAGUUCGGCGUUUCGCAGAGCGUUAAAGCGUGGUUCUCGUUGGUUUAGUUCCACUUUUUUUUUUUUUCAGGCACUUCCGGGUGCUGCGUCACUCCGCAAACCCACGAGUUCCGGAAGCUUGGGGACCGCAGGUUCGGCUUGGAAAAGCCAAGCUUCCCAGAGAUGUUUCAGAAACAGUUACUUGGAGCGGGGCGUUUCGCAGACUCCUAAGGCACCACGUCUGAAGCUUAAUGGCAGUGCUAAUCCUGAUUUAUACCUCCAAAUGCCAAAUCUGGAAGGAAAGGUCAAAGUGGUCAGCGGGUUCCCCUUAUGGUGAGCUCUAAAACAAAACAUGGGGUAACACGACCAGAAGAGGCAAAUGUAGAAAGGCUUAAUCUCACUCUCAUUUACUCAGACAGUCCACUUACAGCUCAUCUGUCACCCAGGAUCACAGUGAGCCUUCCUGGGUGGCUGCUGUCUUAGUCCCUGAAAUAUUUG
rnacentral:lncRNA from 1 species